GUGAGGAAUAUUGGACAAUGGAUGGAAAUCUGAUCCAGCCAUGCCGCGUGCAGGAAGACGGCCCUAUGGGUUGUAAACUGCUUUUGUAUGGGAGCAAUAAGGGUUACGAGUAGCCUGAUGAGAGUACCAUACGAAUAAGGACCGGCUAACUCCGUGCCAGCAGCCGCGGUAAUACGGAGGGUCCGAGCGUUAUCCGGAUUUAUUGGGUUUAAAGGGUGCGUAGGCGGUUUUAUAAGUCAGCGGUGAAAUUCUCCGGCUCAACCGGGGGACUGCCGUUGAUACUGUAAGGCUAGGAUAUGGUUGCUGUGGGUGGAAUGUGUGGUGUAGCGGUGAAAUGCUUAGAGAUCACACAGAAUAUCGAUUGCGAAGGCAGCUCACAAAGCCAUCAUUGACGCUGAGGCACGAAAGUGUGGGGAUCAAACAGGAUUAGAUACCCCUAGUAGUCC
rnacentral:rRNA from 1 species